ACACAUGCAAGUCGAACGGUAACAGGAAGCAGCUUGCUUCUUGCUGACGAGUGGCGGACGGGUGAGUAAUGUCUGGGAAACUGCCUGAUGGAGGGGGAUAACUACUGGAAACGGUAGCUAAUACCGCAUAACGUCGCAAGACCAAAGAGGGGGACCUUCGGGCCUCUUGCCAUCGGAUGUGCCCAGAUGGGAUUAGCUUGUGGUGGGGUAACGGCUCACCAGGCGACGAUCCCUAGCUGGUCUGAGAGGAUGACCAGCCACACUGGAACUGAGACACGGUCCAGACUCCUACGGGAGGCAGCAGUGGGGAAUAUUGCACAAUGGGCGCAAGCCUGAUGCAGCCAUGCCGCGUGUAUGAAGAAGGCCUUCGGGUUGUAAAGUACUUUCAGCGGGGAGGAAGGGAGUAAAGUUAAUACCUUUGCUCAUUGACGUUACCCGCAGAAGAAGCACCGGCUAACUCCGUGCCAGCAGCCGCGGUAAUACGGAGGGUGCAAGCGUUAAUCGGAAUUACUGGGCGUAAAGCGCACGCAGGCGGUUUGUUAAGUCAGAUGUGAAAUCCCCGGGCUCAACCUGGGAACUGCAUCUGAUACUGGCAAGCUUGAGUCUCGUAGAGGGGGGUAGAAUUCCAGGUGUAGCGGUGAAAUCGUAGAGAUCUGGAGGAAUACCGGUGGCGAAGGCGGCCCCCUGACGAAGACU
rnacentral:rRNA from 1 species